GAUGAACGCUAGCUACAGGCUUAACACAUGCAAGUCGAGGGGUAACGAGAGGAAAGCUUGCUUUCCUUGUCGACGACCGGCGCACGGGUGAGUAACGCGUAUCCAACCUGCCCCCAACUAGGGAAUAACCUUGCGAAAGUAAGACUAAUACCCUAUAAUUUCCUCAGAUGUCAUCUGACGAGGAAUAAAGAUUUAUCGGUUGUGGAUGGGGAUGCGUCUGAUUAGCUUGUUGGCGGGGUAACGGCCCACCAAGGCAACGAUCAGUAGGGGUUCUGAGAGGAAGGUCCCCCACAUUGGAACUGAGACACUGUCCAAACUCCUACGGGAGGCAGCAGUGAGGAAUAUUGGCCAAUGGGUGGAAGCCUGAACCAGCCAAGUAGCGUGCAGGAUGACGGCCCUAUGGGUUGUAAACUGCUUUUAUACAGGAAUAAAGUUAGCCACGUGUGGUUAUUUGUAGGUACUGUAUGAAUAAGGACCGGCUAAUUCCGUGCCAGCCGCCGCCGUAA
rnacentral:rRNA from 1 species